rnacentral:rRNA from 1 species
AUUGAACGCUGGCGGCAUGCUUUACACAUGCAAGUCGAACGGUAACAGGUUAAGUUGACGAGUGGCGAACGGGUGAGUAAUGCAUCGGAACGUGCCCGGUCGUGGGGGAUAACGCAGCGAAAGCUGCGCUAAUACCGCAUACGAUCUGAGGAUGAAAGCGGGGGACCGUAAGGCCUCGCGCGAUCGGAGCGGCCGAUGUCAGAUUAGGUAGUUGGUGGGGUAAAGGCUCACCAAGCCAACGAUCUGUAGCUGGUCUGAGAGGACGACCAGCCACACUGGGACUGAGACACGGCCCAGACUCCUACGGGAGGCAGCAGUGGGGAAUUUUGGACAAUGGGCGAAAGCCUGAUCCAGCAAUGCCGCGUGCAGGAAGAAGGCCUUCGGGUUGUAAACUGCUUUUGUACGGAGCGAAAAGGCCUCCUCUAAUACAGGGGGCUCAUGACGGUACCGUAAGAAUAAGCACCGGCUAACUACGUGCCAGCAGCCGCAGUAA